rnacentral:rRNA from 1 species
AGAGUUUGAUCAUGGCUCAGAACGUACGCUGGCGGCACGCCUAAUACAUGCAAGUCGAACGAAGUAGCAAUACUUAGUGGCAGACGGGUGAGUAACAUGUAGGUAUCUUCCCAUUGGUGAGGAAUAACACGAGGAAACUUGUGCUAAUACCUCAUAAGUCUUUACGGAGAAAGCUUUAUGCGCCGAUGGAUGAGCCUGCACUUGAUUAGUUUGUUGGUAGGGUAAUGGCCUACCAAGACAAUGAUCAAUAGCUGAUUUGAGAGGAUGAUCAGCCACAUUGGGACUGAGACACGGCCCAAACUCCUACGGGAGGCAGCAGUAGGGAAUCUUGCACAAUGGGGGAAACCCUGAUGCAGCGAUGCCGCGUGAGUGAAGAAGGCCUUUGGGUUGUAAAGCUCUUUCGUCGGGGAAGAAAAUGACUGUACCCGAAUAAGAAGGUCCGGCUAACUUCGUGCCAGCAGCCGCGGUAAUACGAAGGGACCUAGCGUAGUUCGGAAUUACUGGGCUUAAAGAGUUCGUAGGUGGUUAAAAAAGUUGGUGGUGAAAUCCCAGAGCUUAACUCUGGAACUGCCAUCAAAACUUUUUAGCUAGAGUAUGAUAGAGGAAAGCAGAAUUUCUAGUGUAGAGGUGAAAUUCGUAGAUAUUAGAAAGAAUACCAAUUGCGAAGGCAGCUUUCUGGAUCAUUACUGACACUGAGGAACGAAAGCAUGGGUAGCGAAGAGGAUUAGAUACCCUCGUAGUCCAUGCCGUAAACGAUGUGUGUUAGACGUUGGAAAUUUAUUUUCUGUGUCGCAGCGAAAGCAAUAAACACACCGCCUGGGGAGUACGACCGCAAGGUUAAAACUCAAUGAAUUGACGGGGACCCGCACAAGUAGUGGAGCAUGUGGUUUAAUUCGAAGAUACGCGCAGAACCUUACCAACACUUGACAUGUUCGUCGCGACUUUAAGAGAUUAAAGUUUUCGGUUCGGCCGGACGAAACACAGGUGCUGCAUGGCUGUCGUCAGCUCGUGUCGUGAGAUGUUGGGUUAAGUCCCGCAACGAGCGCAACCCUCACUUUUAGUUGCCAUCAUUUAGUUGGGCACUCUGAAAGAACUGCCAGUGAUAAGCUGGAGGAAGGUGGGGAUGACGUCAAGUCCUCAUGGCCCUUACGUGUUGGGCUACACACGUGCUACAAUGGCAUUUACAAUAGGAAGCAAGACGGCGACGUUAAGCAAAUCCUAAAAAAAUGCCUCAGUUCGGAUUGUACUCUGCAACUCGAGUACAUGAAGCUGGAAUUACUAGUAAUCGCGGAUCAGCGCGCCGCGGUGAAUACGUUCCCGGGUCUUGUACACACCGCCCGUCACACCAUGGGAGUUGGUUCUACCUUAAGGCAAAGUUUAAUACCUUUGACCACGGUAUAGUCAGCGACUGGGGUGAAGUCAUAACAAGGUAACCGUA